CUUCCGUUUGCAUAAAUUUGUUACUCAUAACGUGUUGAUGAUAGAUUCAAGAUUUAGGAUUUGAUUAAUUUUAGUAAGUUCAAACGUGAGUUCUCUCUCGUUUCUGUAAUUUUAGUAAGUAUUAAGCCUCUAAAACCCCUAAAACCCCUUCUUGAAUUCACUUAUGUUAGAUGAAAUUUAUGAUUUGAUUAAAAGUCAAAGUGAGUCGUUUAGUUUGUCUAGGAACAAGGUCUUGAGCUGUUUGGACAUUGUUUAGUAGCUAAUUUAUGUUUGCUUUAGUGGAUUUAGUGUGUAAUUUGGUGGUUAAGGCUCUGAAUUUGUAGGCCUUUUGUUGUUUGUUCAUUCUUUAUUACUUAUCCACAAAUUAAAUUUGGAAGUUUGGCAUUGGGAUUGUCAACAUGAUUUGAAACUCUUAAUGGCUUAUGAAUGUUGAAUAUUUCCUCAGGUGUUUGUGUAAUGUUUAAAUCCUUAAGUUUUAGGUUGUGGAUGUUCUGUGAACAAAUAUUAGAAUCAAGUUUGAUGUCUAACUUCGGGUUAAUUAGGUAAGAAAGUUUGGUAUUAUUCCUUAGUUUAGUGCGAAAUUUGGGGGAGAAAUUACCAAACAUCUUGCAUUCCUUCAUGUUUAGUUCAAUCUUUAAUGGAGAAAUAUGGGAAGAGGGAUCCUACAACCUUGUUCGAGAAAAAGGAAGGACAGAGAUGAUGUUGAAGAGGAAUCUGCAGAUGUUGGUAUUCCAAUGAUUCUUUCAAAUAUGCACAUGAAAUCUAGAGUCAUUUUUGACCCUUGCCUUUGUUGGAAAGGUAAGGGCCCCGUAUAUUGCAUUUCAUUUUUCUUGAUACUCUCUAAUAUUUAUUAAUUUUUUGAGCUUGACCUUUAAUCUUAGCUAGUAAUUUAUAAGUUUAAAAUCAAUUGCUCUUCUACUCGUAUACAAUAGUGCUUGUUUUUCUAUUAUUGUUUGGUAUUCGAGUUUGUGGGUCAACUUUGAUGAUAACUCCUUCAUUAGUUCUUAUGAACACUACUUGAACUAAUCCAAUCAUACAAAUCUGAGAAUACAUAUAUGAACAAAAGCCUGGCAUAGAAAAAUUUAAGGUUAUAUUUUGUUUAAAAUAGAGAUCACAGAACUUCUAUUCCUGUUCCUAUGUGUGUUGUCAAUAUUCAAAGGAGUUUCUUCUUUUCGAUCUUCUAAAGAGAAAUUUCUAUAAUGGCUAAACUUGAUCAAUAUUCGUUUUCAUAUAACUAUGAAAUGUACUUCUAUUACAAGAAAGAAAAAGAAAUAAGAUAAUCAUCUCGUGAACUAUAUCAGGUCCAUACUUGUAUGGGUCCAUUCUCCUCCUCCGCAAGAAUUUAGCAUGUUUUUCUUGAUUCAAAAUCUAAUAGUUCUGAAGAAACAUACGCAUAACAAUAAUAGAAAACAAGCAUUAUUAUAUACGAGUAGAAGAAUAAUUGAUUUUAAGCCCAUAAAUUACUAGCUAAGAUUAAAGAUUAAACUCAAAAAAUUAAUAAAUAUUAGAAAGUAUCAAGAAAGAUGAAAUGCAACAUACAGAGCUGUUACCUUCCAACCAAGGCAAGUGUCAAAGAUGUCUUCUCAAGUACAAAACUGACUCUAGAUUUUAUAUGCAAAUUUGAAGGAACCAUUGGAAUACCAAGAUAUGGACUCAAAGCAUCUGCAGAUUCCUCUUUAACCUCACUAGUACUAUGUCUCAUCUCUGUCCUUCCUUUUCCUCGACUCGGCAAGUGUCAAAGAUGUCUUUUCAAGUACAAAAAUGACUCUAGAUUUCAUGUCUGGACUUGAAGGAAGAAACCAUUGGAAUACCAAUAUAUACACUCAAAACACAUCUGCAGAUUCCUCUUCAACAUCAUCAGUACUAUGUCCAUCUUCUCUGUCCUUCCUUUUCCUCGAACAAGGAGUCGAGGAAAAGGAAGGACAAAGAUGAUGGAGAUAGUACUGGUGAGGUUGAAGAGGAAUCUGCAGAUGUUUUGAGUUCAUAUCUUGGUAUUCCAAUGAUUCGUUCCUUCAAGUUUGCACAUAAAAUCUAGAGUCAUUUGUGUACUUGAGAAGACAUCUUUGACACUUGUCGAGUCGAGGAAAAAGAAGACAAAGAUGAUGGAGAUAGUACUAGUGAGGUUAAAGAGGAAUCUGCAUAUGCUUUGAGUCCAUAUCUUGGUAUUCCAAUGGUUCCUUCAAAUUUGCAUAUAAAAUCUAGAGUCAGUUUUGUACUUGAGAAGACAUCUUUGACACUUGCCUUGGUUAGAAGGUAACAGCUCUGUAUGUUGCAUUUCAUCUUUCUAAUAUUUAUUAAAUUUUUGAGCUUGACCUUUAAUCUUAACUAGUAGUUUAUAGGUUUAAAAUCAAUUGCUCUUAUACUCGUAUAUAAUAGUGUUUGGUUUUCUAUUAUUGUUGUGUGUAUGUUUCUUCAAAACUAUAAGAAUUUGAAUCAAGAAAAACAUGUUGAAUUCUUGCGGAGGAGGAGAAUGGAUUUAUACAAGUAUAGACCUGAUAUAGUUCAUGAGGUGAGUAUCUUAUUUAUUUAUUUUUUGUAAUAGAAUUACAUUUUAUAGUUAUAUGAAAAGAAAUGUUGAUCAAGUUUAGCAAUUACAAAAAUUUCUCUUUAGAAGAUGAAAAAGAAGAAACUCCUUUAAAUAUUGACAACACACUUAGGAACAUGAAUAUAAUUUUUAUGAUCUCUCUUUUGAACAAAAUAUAAUCUAGAACUUCUAUGAUCUCUCUUUUGAACAAAAUAUAAUCUAGAAUUUCUAUGAUUUCUCUUUUGAACAAAAUAUAAUCUUACAUUUUCUAUGUGUCAGGCUCUUUAUUCUCGAAUUUGUAUAGUUGGAUUAGUUCAAGUAGUGUUCAUAAGAAUUAAUGAAGGAGUUCUCAUCAAAAUUGGCCCACAGACUUGGAUACCAGAAUCUUAACUUUUUCUUGCUUAACAAAAUAUUAGUAGCCAGUUAUGUGAAUAAAACUAAUUCCUUAUGAUGCUUCUGUUUAAAUUUCUAACAUAUGAUUAUAUUGCAGCAUAAUUGUUGCAAAAGCUUAGCACUAAAGCUAAAGGCAAACGUGGAAAACUAUUGUAAGUGGUAAAAAAAUCCUGUGAUCUAAUACCAACCUAUCAAUUGUUUGAAGAUCUGUGAGCUAUAUAUUACAACAAUUAGAUAUAGCACUUCCCCUCCAAAAAAAAUCGAUAUAUAAUUCCAAAGUAAAUAAAUAAACAAAGACAUGCUUUUGAGUAUAAUAGUGAUGUUGUAAAAUUUGGUGGAUUAACAAGGAUAAGAUGUGGUUAGUUCACAGGAUUUCAUAUUUCUUAGCCAAGCUCUCGUAUAUCAUGCGUAGACAAACUCUUAGCACUUGUGAUAUCCAAAAAUUGCAUGCAAGUCAGUGAACUGUUUUAUUGAACUUCUUUUUUCUCUUUCAUAACAAAAGUAGUCAAAAUUUGUAGCAAGCCAGUGAAACUGCAUGCAAUUUACUUUUGUUAUGGGUAAACUACGUGCAAGCCAGUGAAAUACUCAAAAGUAUGCAUUUCUUAUUUAUUUAUUUAUAUUUGGAAUUCUAUAUCCAUUUUUUUGGGAUGGGAAGUGCUAUAUCUAAUUGCUGUAAUAGAUCAUGUAUAUAGAUCUUUAGGUUGGGUCUUUUUUAACAAAAAAAUGUAUUGAAUAGCCUACAUUUGUGACUGCAAUUCAAAAUACUGAGAAAUAUCUAACAUUGUCAUUCAUUAUAAGGGCUUGUUGUUUGGAUUGAUUUUCAAUUUGUUUAUAAACUCUUUCUUUUUAACUUAAAAACACUUAUUCAAACACUUUGAACAUCAAUUGAAACACGGCCAAAGUUUAUGAAUGAUUUUUGUA